GCCUUCGUGGUGUAAUGGUCAACUCGUUGGGCAGUAUUCCAGAGGUCCGUGGUUCGAGUCCCGGCGAAGGCA
rnacentral:tRNA from 1 species